rnacentral:lncRNA from 1 species
UUUCUGUUUCUUUGCAGGAGUUGUGGUACUUUAACAGCUGAAACUGUCCUUAGGGCAAGAGCAGAUCAAGUGAGCUAAGCCGUUAUUAUAUUCAGGUUUGAUUGCUGCGUUUCCAACUCAUCUCUUCCUUUUCCUUUCUGCUGAAAAGCUGUGCCAGGAGCCAGGCUUACGGAAAAGUUUUUGCAGGCGAGAAAAAGGAAGGGGAUCUCAUCUCAAACCAGUCCACCAUUUAUUGUUCAAUGACAAGUAGAAAAUUUCAUCUGUGUGAGAAGGACUUUAUCGGUUGGUAGUAGGGGAAUUCAGAUGCCUACCUUUCAUCAUCUUCAUUAUCACGGUUGAUAUCACCACAGUACAUGUCAUCGUUCUGCACAAGAGAAUCCUCGCAGGAAAGAAGAAUGCAACACAUUGUUCUCAUGGUUUCCUUUGACCACUUGCUCUAUCACUAUGGAGAUCUCCAGCAGAAGUAGGGAAUGCCAACCAGAACCUCUUCAGGACUUCACUCAUCCCCACUUCCAACCACAGUUGCGAUGCUCCUUCACUACUGCACAAUGAGGAG